CGGACCGAUUCGCACGCACCUGCUGUGCCCCAAGUUCACCAACCACACCGCGCGUGUCCAUGGCGCGAGCGGCGGCGGCUCGUCGGGCUCGCCCGCCGGACACGGCGUGGGGAGCGAGGCGUAGCGGUGGGCGAGGGGUCGGUCUCCAAGACUCCAACCUCCAACGGAGGCCACUGCAACGCGCCCUGGUAGACUGCAACGGCGGGAGGAGGUUACAGUGCUCUACUUUUUGCCUGAAUGUUGGAAGUUAAUGAUGGUUGAGUGCAAGAAAAGAAACAUAACUAGCACUGUACAGAUGGAGGGAUAUAGAAACAGAACAAUUGUCGUUAAUGAUGAAAACAAGCUCAUGACCUGUGAAAGGUAGCUUCUACCUCCCUCAUCUAAUAUAUUGUUUCCUCCAAGACUGCUAACAGGUUGCAAACUUCAAAGAUCAUGUUCACAUUGCCGUAUCCCAUCUUAAUCAGUGCUGUCCUUGUAGAAUUACAUGGGGAACAUGGACAUCGCACUAUAUUAUAGCUGGAAGCUUCAUGUUUAAUCCUUUUACUCAAUCCAACUUGAUGCUGUCUUGAAGAAGGAAAUUCUCAUUUGCGGAUGUCAAAUUAUCAUAAGAGUUAUUCUUGUGGUUGGUGCUGUGGUGUGUCCCAGGUUUAGGGUGCUUCUAUGUUUUGUGCACCAGUUUUUGGGUGUAAUCGGUGUUUCUGUCUUUGGUGUCUAAAGAUGGGGUUGUUGUAACAUUUUGUGAAAAGGCAGAGCUCCUGCUAUCUGUUUCCAAAGAAAAAGGUUAUUCAUUUGUUCUUAAAUUUUAACAGGUAGAGAGUUUUAGGUUGAAAUUUCUUUUUACUACUAUAUAUCAUUGGAACGUUUUACUAUUGAAUCUCAUUCACAAUGCUUUUUUCCCCAAUGUGUUUUACUUAAGAAAUAUAGGUUACAGUAUCAAUAUAUAGUACAGUGAAUAGUGGUCUUUCACAAUGCCAAUUGCCAAUUUUGUGGUAUGUUGAGCUAUUCCAGUAACUCAAAUAGUUGUAUUUUAUGCAAAAGAAGACAAAAAAGGUGUUCACAGCACUCACCAUGAUGGAGAUUUGAAUUUUGCAUGCUGAACUCCCAAUUGCUAUGAGGUGUCGCAUUGGCCAAUCUACUAUUUCCUAUGGAAUCACAUAAGCAUAUAACUUAAAUUUAUCUAGCUACUCAGCAUAAGAUUAUGCUCUUUGACAUGUUGAACAUUAAAAAUUUCUUGUGCGAUACAUUUUUUAUACGGCUCAAUGAAUUCAGCAGUCAUUAUCCAAACCUUUUGGGCAUCUGCUUGAAGUAUCUGUGGUCAACCAGCAAGCAAUAGCAGCAACACAUAAUUUGAGUUGGCUGGAGUGAGAGUAAGUACAUUGCAGUUUUCAAACCAGCUGAAGCCUUGUUACAAUAGAUGGUUAAAUUUUCAGAAUUCUCUAUUUUAGUUGCUUCAGCAUAUGCCAUACUUGUGAAUUUCUGCAAGUAGGAAAAGCUUUGGCAUAGUACUCCUGCAGAGAAAGAAGACGAUUCAGUUUGGCUGUGUAUGGAUACUAAUUUGGUGCCAUCACAUGCUAAUUACUUAGCUCCAACAUCUAGUGCUUGCCUUAAACACAAGUGACAGUUGUCGGUUAUUUUUUAAAGCUUGCAUUUGGUGGUCUAGAGUCUAGACAUCUAGUAAUUGAUAUGGCAACUAAUGGGUACUCUAUCUUCAGCUUGUUGAUCACUACUUGCUGACUAGUUGCACACAGUUGGGUGUUCCAAGGGCAGUUGUAUGGCUUGUUUAGAAAGUGAGGUACAGACGUACAGCAACCUCCAAUUCCUAACCAGGUUUUCCCGGACAGAUACAAUGCGCCAGCGAUCAGAUGGAAGACAGCUUUGUGCUCGUGUAUAGUUUCCUUGAAACUAAUGCUGG